CACGCCGUAAACGAUGAAUGCUAGGUGUAGGGGGUGAACAUACCCCUGUGCCGGAGUCAACACAAUAAGCAUUCCACCUGGGGAGUACGGCCGCAAGGUUGAAACUCAAAGGAAUUGACGGGAGCCCGCACAAGCAGUGGAGUAUGUGGUUUAAUUCGACGCAACGCGAAGAACCUUACCGGAGCUUGACAUCCACGGAAGUUGGCUGUAAUGGCCGGCGUGCCCUUCGGGGAGCCGUGAGACAGGUGG
rnacentral:rRNA from 1 species